rnacentral:rRNA from 1 species
UACAGAGGUCUCAAGCGUUGUUCGGAUUCAUUGGGCGUAAAGGGUGCGUAGGCGGCGCGGUAAGUCGGGUGUGAAAUCUCGGAGCUUAACUCCGAAACUGCAUUCGAUACUGCCGUGCUUGAGGACUGGAGAGGAGACUGGAAUUUACGGUGUAGCGGUGAAAUGCGUAGAUAUCGUAAGGAAGACCAGUGGCGAAGGCGGGUCUCUGGACAGUUCCUGACGCUGGAGGC